rnacentral:ncRNA from 1 species
AUAUGAACUGUGAGAGGGACAGUACAAUAUUUAUAUGCUUUAAGCAGUGCAUGAAUUUGCCUGUUAGCGAUCCGGGGAUGGUGAAAGCCCGGUAGAAGCAAAAUAUUGGAAGAUCACCCUUGAGUUCCUUGCUGAACGUUCAAAUGAAUUAUUAAGCAUAGGCGAUUCAUUCGCGUUAAGAAUGCUUGAGCGGAUAGAAAAGAUUGAAUUUCUAUCUACAAGGGUGGUACCGCGGGAGAUAAAACCUUCUCGUCCCUUUU